GGCCGAUUGGCGCAAUGGUAGCGCGUGGUCCUCCUAACAAGGGGAUUCAAGACUGAGGUUGUGGGUUCGAGUCCCAUGUCGGUCG